rnacentral:rRNA from 1 species
AGUGAACGCUGGCGGUAGGCCUAACACAUGCAAGUCGAACGGCAGCACAGUAAGAGCUUGCUCUUACGGGUGGCGAGUGGCGGACGGGUGAGGAAUACAUCGGAAUCUACUUUUUCGUGGGGGAUAACGUAGGGAAACUUACGCUAAUACCGCAUACGACCUACGGGUGAAAGCAGGGGAUCUUCGGACCUUGCGCGAUUGAAUGAGCCGAUGUCGGAUUAGCUAGUUGGCGGGGUAAAGGCCCACCAAGGCGACGAUCCGUAGCUGGUCUGAGAGGAUGAUCAGGCACACUGGAACUGAGACACGGUCCAGACUCCUAAGGGAGGCAGCAGUGGGGAAUAUUGGACAAUGGGCGCAAGCCUGAUCCAGCCAUACCGCGUGGGUGAAGAAGGCCUUCGGGCUGUAAAGCCCUUUUGUUGGGAAAGAAAAGCAGCAGGUUAAUACCCCGCUGUUCUGACGGUACCCAAAGAAUAAGCACCGGCUAACUUCGUG